rnacentral:rRNA from 1 species
UACGGGGGGGGCAAGCGUUGUUCGGAAUUACCGGGCGUAAAGGGCUCGUAGGCGGCCAACUAAGUCAGACGUGAAAUCCCUCGGCUUAACCGGGGAACUGCAUCUGAUACUGGAUGGCUUGAGUUCGGGAGAGGGAUGCGGAAUUCCAGGUGUAGCGGUGAAAUGCGUAGAUAUCUGGAGGAACACCGGUGGCGAAGGCGGCGUCCUGGACCAACACUGACACUGAUGAGCGAAAGCCAGGGGAGCAAACGGG